rnacentral:lncRNA from 1 species
GUUUGGUGAUCCUCGGGACCUGCCGGAGCCGGAACCCUCUUACCAGCAUUUUAGAUCAGUUGCUUUUCAAUAAGAGUAAACAUAUGGCAGCCUCAGUUCGUCAUUCCAUUUGAUUCUGCAACAACACUCUCAUCAUAUCUCCGGUCGGAAACUGCAUCCCCGUCAAUGACUUCGUUAAAUUAGAAACCCUAACCCUAAAUUCGAUGUCAUGGUGACACAACUUUGACAUUUUAAGCGGGGUGUAAACAAGCCAAGCUACUCAAGAUGG